CACGUAGGGGGCGAGCGUUGUCCGGAUUUAUUGGGCGUAAAGAGCUCGUAGGCGGUUUCGUAAGUCGGAUGUGAAAACUCCAGGCUCAACUUGGAGACGCCAUUCGAUACUGCGAUGACUUGAGUCCGGUAGGGGAGUGUGGAAUUCCUGGUGUAGCGGUGAAAUGCGCAGAUAUCAGGAGGAACACCAGCGGCGAAGGCGGCCAUCUGGACAGAUAUUGACGCUGAGGUGCGAAAGCGUGGGGAGCAAACAGG
rnacentral:rRNA from 1 species